UGUUGGAAGUAGAGUACUCUACUGUUAGAAGUAGAGUACUCUACUGUUAGAAGUAGAGUACUCUACUGUUAGAAGUAGAGUACUCUACUGUUAGAAG
rnacentral:miRNA from 1 species